rnacentral:rRNA from 1 species
CCUACGGGAGGCAGCAGUGAGGAAUAUUGGUCAAUGGACGGAAGUCUGAACCAGCCAUGCCGCGUGCAGGAAGACGGCUCUAUGAGUUGUAAACUGCUUUUGUACGAGCGUAAACCUUAAUACGUGUAUUCCGCUGAACGUCCUCUACGAAUAAGGAUCGGCUAACUCCGUGCCAGCAGCCGCGGUAAUACGGAGGAUCCAAGCGUUAUCCGGAUUUAUUGGGUGUAAAGGGUGCGUAGGCGGAAUGAUAAGUUAGAGGUGAAAUGGCCGGGCUUAACUCGGGACCUGCCUUUAAUACUGUUGAUCUAGAGAGUAGAUGCGGUAGGCGGAAUGUAUGGUGUAGCGGUGAAAUGCUUAGAGAUCAGACAGAACACCGAUUGCGAAGGCAGCUUACCAAACUAUAUCUGACGUUGAGGCACGAAAGCGUGGGGAGCAAACAGGAUUAGAUACCCUGGUAGUC